GAAUAAAAUGAAUGUGACAUUUAUAUAGAGUUAUAAUAAUUGAUUUUGCUUUUACAUUUGCAAUGUUUAAAAACACUGUCCGAUGGAGAAAUGCAAAACAACGGUAUACUUAUUCUUAGUUGCAAAACUACAGCGGGAUAUGGGCGUUGAACUUGUCCAUUGGUUAAGAAUAGACAUUGCGUCGCAGAAUUUCUAUUCGGGAGACUUACCUGAAGAGAAAAAUAUUGAUUUUCAAUAUAAUUACGUAAGUGGCCAUUUUCCAUUUCUGAGAAGAAAUCAAUAUCGUCAUAAGAAUCAAUCAACAUCGCCAAAAAUCAAAACAAUAUAGCAAAGCUUCUGAAUUAUAUGAACACGCUCUGUUGAUUCCUUUAUAUGCAUUAUAAGCGUUAAGGAAAGAUGAGAGCCGUUGUGAGAGAGCCACCUAUGCCAGUCGACCGUUCACUUUUUCUAAAAUUGGUCACAGACAGCCGGAUCUUGCCUAAGGAAAGCAGUAAAUCGCAACGAUCCUCUCUUCUGGAAGAGAUGUGCAGGGUGGGGCACAGUACAUUGCCAGAGAAAAUAAAUAACUCAUCCGUAUGAUGUGCACGCAAAAACAAUUUCAUUCAUCCUCGAGAGAAUUCAAAAUUUAUUUGAUCAUUAUUAUUUUGUCUGGAAAGAAAAAUAAUUAUUUUCGAAUCAGUGUGUGGUCAGAAUAAUUUUUUAAAUUAAUAUUUUUAGGCUAUGGUACUUGGACAGUCUACAAACACGUAAUAAUUAUCUGUUCAAUAAAAUGCAAAGUUUAUUCGUAUUUAUUGAAUAAGUUAGAAAGUUGUUAAACAAGUUUUAUCAAUUCUCAAUAACUUUGUUCAGAAUAUUCCUUCUAUGAUGAUGAUAUAAAUGACGACAUCAAGGAUGGAUAUCUACAAGGACAAAGGAAACUAAUUUAGGCUAAGGAUUAUUUUUUAAUAGAAUAAACACUUAUAUUAGUUGUAUAUACUUGCUUAGUAAUAUAUAGAGUGCCUAUAACGUGUAUUUCUGAGAACAAAUAAAUCACAUAUAAUUUACAAAAAGGAACUUGACGCGGCGUUUAAUAUUGCUCUUAUCGUCGGAUAAUGACAAGGUAUUUAUUAUCUAUAGGCAUACGAAUUUUUCAUUCAUUUUUUUCCUUUCUGAAGGACCAACAUUAUGAACGUGUACGUGUACACCUGCAAAAGAAACUUCAAGUUCGUCGCAUUUCCUUUUAAUUAAUUCCAAUUAAUAUAAACCUUAUUCAUUGUUCAUCGGAUAGAAUAGAAAAAGAACGUGAAGAUAAGAAUAUAUUAUUAUAUCAUCUUUUCUUUUUUUUCAAUUCUUCGUGUACCAUCGAGAAAAUUAUACACCGGGCAGUGAAAUACGUAGAAAAAUUGGCAAAAAUUUUGAAAAUUUAAUAUCGUUCCUUAUUCUUGAACAAUAUUUUUAGCCAUUAAUCUUUUACAUGUUAUUUUUUCUCUUAAACAGUGUACAAAGAAUAACGUUUCGUUAAUGCCAGAAACACGAGUAUUUCGAUGAAUUCGAUAGGAUACGUCUUCGAUCUUAAAUUUAAUCUUUCUCACCGUUUAUCUGCAAGUUUAAUACGAAGUGUCCAAAAUAUCGCAACUCCAGAGUAUUAUUAUCUACGAUAAAUUUAUUAAAGAUUUCUAUUUGCUCUAGCUGAACUUUCACGGUGUACCAAUAAUUUGUAUCGAAUACUAUUGUCUAGUUUAUGUCAAUUCAACGUAUGCCUAACAAUACGUCAAUUUUGGAAUUAUUUCAUUCCUCAACAAAUUCGUAAACACCUAAUUAUUCGAAAUAUUUUUAAAUAUUUAUUGUUCUGAGACGCACAGACGAAAGUACAGAGCCUGAGAACCAUCAAAAAUCCACGAAUUCACACGAUAGCGAGACAUUUCAUUUUUUUUUUUUUUUUCGUCGUCGAUCCUAUGACUACGAUAUAAAACGGCACGACGUCUACGUCUAAACUUUUAUCUAUGUACAAUAAACGUUUGGCGAGAUCCUCGUGAAAAGAAACGUCGAUCGAAAUCGGUCGUCGCUCGAGGUUCGCCGUAAGACUUCUAUCGCUGAUUUUUUUCAGGAUCGAUCAGCGCUAUAACUAAAAUUUACAUCUAGAUUAUUCAAGUUAUUUGCACGAGUUGUCGUUUGAAAGAUUUCCAAUAUUCAAAUAGGUUCGAGCGAAAAAUUUCCCCUCAUUUUUUUUCUUCCUCCAUUCCACUCUAAAACACGACUCUCGUUUUCGUUCUACAUUCCUGUAUGGCGACAUUAAAACUAAUCCGUUCACGUAUACCUUUUGGAAAGAGACGUUUCGAAAAAUAGCAUAAACGUCGAU